rnacentral:rRNA from 1 species
UACAGAGGGUGCAAGCGUUAAUCGGAAUUACUGGGCGUAAAGCGUGCGUAGACGGUUAUGUAAGUCGGGUGUGAAAGCCCCGGGCUCAACCUGGGAAUGCCAUUCGAGACUGCAUAGCUAGGGUGCGGAAGAGGGAAGCGGAAUUUCCGGUGUAGCGGUGAAAUGCGUAGAUAUCGGAAGGAACACCAGUGGCGAAGGCGACAUCCUGGACCGGUAUUGACGCUGAGGCGCGAAAGCCAGGGGAGCAAACGGG